AACGAACGCUGGCGGCAGGCUUAACACAUGCAAGUCGAGCGCCCCGCAAGGGGAGCGGCAGACGGGUGAGUAACGCGUGGGAACGUACCUUUUGGUUCGGAACAACUCCGGGAAACUGGAGCUAAUACCGGAUAAGCCCUAACGGGGAAAGAUUGAUCGCCGAAAGAGGGGCCCGCGUCUGAUUAGCUAGUUGGUGAGGUAACGGCUCACCAAGGCGACGAUCAGCAGCUGGUCUGAGAGGAUGAGCAGCCACACUGGGACUGAGACACGGUCCGGACUCUUACAGGAUGGAGCAGUGGGGGAUAUUGCCAAAUGGCCGGUGUGAUGAACCACCCAUGAUGGGUGAGUACUUAAGGCUUUGGGGUAGUAAAGCUAUUUUGUACCUUAAUAUUUUGACUUUACCGGCAGAAUAAGCCCCGGCUAACUUCGUG
rnacentral:rRNA from 1 species